UACAGAGGUCUCAAGCGUUGUUCGGAUUCAUUGGGCGUAAAGGGUGCGUAGGUGGCGAGGUUGGUCAGGUGUGAAAUCUCGGGGCUCAACCCCGAAACUGCACUUGAUACUGCCUUGCUAGAGUACUGGAGAGGAGAUUGGAAUUUACGGUGUAGCAGUGAAAUGCGUAGAUAUCGUAAGGAAGACCAGUGGCGAAGGCGAAUCUCUGGACAGUUACUGACACUGAGGCACGAAGGCCAGGGGAGCAAACGGG
rnacentral:rRNA from 1 species